rnacentral:rRNA from 1 species
GACGGAGGUUGCAAGCGUUGUUCGGAAUUACUGGGCGUAAAGGGGGCGCAGGCGGUUUGGUUAGUCUGAAGUGAAAGCCCGGGGCUCAACCCCGGAAGCGCUUCGGAUACUGCCAGACUUGAGUACGUGAGAGGAGAGCGGAAUUCCAGGUGUAGCGGUGAAAUGCGUAGAUAUCUGGAGGAACACCGGUGGCGAAAGCGGCUCUCUGGCGCGAUACUGACGCUGAGGCCCGAAAGCGUGGGGAGCGAACGGGAUUAGAUACCCUCGUA